AUACGUAGGGUGCAAGCGUUAUCCGGAAUUAUUGGGGCGUAAAAGGAGCUCGUAGGCGGUUUGUCGCGUCUGCUGUGAAAACUGGGAGGCUCAACCUCCAGCCUGCAGUGGGUACGGGCAAACUAGAGUGCGGUAGGGGAGAUUGGAAUUCCUGGUGUAGCGGUGGAAUGCGCAGAUAUCAGGAGGAACACCGAUGGCGAAGGCAGAUCUCUGGGCCGUAACUGACGCUGAGGAGCGAAAGCAUGGGGAGCGAACAGG
rnacentral:rRNA from 1 species